UGACACCUAACAGUAUGUAGUGGCAACUUAGUUGAAUCGAAAAUGAAUCUCAAAGUAUAGUUAACAUUUGAUUCAGUCCCUCCAUCGUAAGUCCCGACUAGAUGGCAGAUCAUGGAUAAAUUGUCAAACUUCAUCAUCAGUCAUAUGAUAAAUUUGAUCAGCUCAAGUCUAAUUGUGAUCCUUAUAGAAACUCUUUUUCAUCAAUCACACUGCUGUGGCCAUAGACUUUCGGACUUAGCC
rnacentral:lncRNA from 1 species